CUUUUUGCGACAUGGUAAUUCACGAGCAAACCAAACUCUUGUUUGGUUAAACCAAGAAGAAGAAGGAGAAGGAGAAGAAGGAGGAGGAGGAGCAAGAGGAAGAGGAGGAGGAGGAGGAGGAGGAGGAGGAGGAAGAGGAGGAGAAGGCGGUGGAGGAGGAGGAGGAGGAGGAGGAGAGGAAGAAGAAGAAGAGGAAAAUUUUUAUUUCUUACUUGCCUCUCCUUACGGCUCAAGACACACUGCUGCAACCUGAUAUCAAAAAAAUCUGUUUCUUCGAAGAAUUCCAGAGGAAAAAUGACAAUGAAGAUCUAGGAUGAAUCCAAUCAGAACCUGGCUAGGU
rnacentral:lncRNA from 11 species